UGUUAAAAAUUCCAAUCAUUUUACUGUUUAAAAUUGUUGUGAAUGACAGAAUAAAAAAAGAAUUACACAUGGCAUAUCACGUGUACCUCAUAUGGCCUACAAUGACUAGUUUUCAAUAGUUGAAUUGGAUGAACUUUUUAACA
rnacentral:pre_miRNA from 1 species